AUGGGCUUUUAUGUUCACCUAAACCGGAACGAACGCUCCUUAUCUUGGGAAGACAUACGCAAUCUGCAUAGUAAGAGGAACCACCCCUGGGUAAUUUUUGGUGACUUUAAUGAAAUAUUAUAUCCUUCAGAAAAAAAGGGCGGUAAUGCGAGACCAUAUGGCAUGAUGAGGGAGUUCCGUGAAUGUCUUAUGGACUAUGGGCUGGAGGAUUUUGGAUAUAUCGGCGAUUCUUUUACUUGGAGUAGAGGUGAUAUUUGAGAGCGCCUUGACCGUGCAAUGUGCAAUGUAGAGUGGGCUUAUAAAUUCUCACGUGAUGCGGUGAUCAACGAAGAACUUGUUCACUCUAAGCACCGUCCGCUGGUACUGGACAUGGACUAUUUGGAUGAUAACAUUUUGAGACAACAACGGGGUGUGUAA
rnacentral:rRNA from 1 species